GACGUAGGGGGCGAGCGUUAUCCGGAUUCACUGGGUUUAAAGGGUGCGUAGGUGGGUUGGUAAGUCAGUGGUGAAAUCUCCAGGCUUAACUUGGAAACUGCCAUUGAUACUAUCAAUCUUGAAUACCGUGGAGGUCAGCGGAAUAUGUCAUGUAGCGGUGAAAUGCUUAGAUAUGACAUAGAACACCAAUUGCGAAGGCAGCUGGCUACACGAAUAUUGACACUGAUGCACGAAAGCGUGGGGAUCAAACAGG
rnacentral:rRNA from 1 species